GCCGUAGCUAACGCAUUAAGUGCCCCGCCUGGGGAGUACGGCCGCAAGGCUAAAACUCAAAGGAAUUGACGGGGGCCCGCACAAGCGGCGGAGCAUGCGGAUUAAUUCGAUGCAACGCGAAGAACCUUACCAAGGCUUGACAUGUGCCAGACCGCUCCAGAGAUGGGGUUUCCCUUCGGGGCUGGUUCACAGGUGGUGCAUGGUUGUCGUCAGCUCGUGUCGUGAGAUGUUGGGUUAAGUCCCGCAACGAGCGCAACCCUCGUUCCAUGUUGCCAGCACGUAGUGGUGGGGACUCAUGGGAGACUGCCGGGGUCAACUCGGAGGAAGGUGGGGAUGACGUCAAAUCAUCAUGCCCCUUAUGUCUUGGGCUUCACGCAUGCUACAAUGGCCGGUACAAUGGGUUGCGAUACUGUGAGGUGGAGCUAAUCCCUAAAAGCCGGUCUCAGUUCGGAUUGGGGUCUGCAACUCGACCCCAUGAAGUCGGAGUCGCUAGUAAUCGCAGAUCAGCAACGCUGCGGUGAAUACGUUCCCGGGCCUUGUACACACCGCCCGUCAAGUCACGAAAGUUGGUAACACCCGAAGCCGAUGGCCUAACCAC
rnacentral:rRNA from 1 species